GUCGACGAUGAAGCCCAGCUUGCUGGGUGGAUUAGUGGCGAACGGGUGAGUAACACGUGAGUAACCUGCCCUUAACUCUGGGAUAAGCCUGGGAAACUGGGUCUAAUACCGGAUAGGAGCGUCCACCGCAUGGUGGGUGUUGGAAAGAUUUAUCGGUUUUGGAUGGACUCGCGGCCUAUCAGCUUGUUGGUGAGGUAAUGGCUCACCAAGGCGACGACGGGUAGCCGGCCUGAGAGGGUGACCGGCCACACUGGGACUGAGACACGGCCCAGACUCCUACGGGAGGCAGCAGUGGGGAAUAUUGCACAAUGGGCGCAAGCCUGAUGCAGCGACGCCGCGUGAGGGAUGACGGCCUUCGGGUUGUAAACCUCUUUCAGUAGGGAAGAAGCGAAAGUGACGGUACCUGCAGAAGAAGCACCGGCUAACUACGUGCCAGCAGCCGCGGUAAUACGUAGGGUGCGAGCGUUAUCCGGAAUUAUUGGGCGUAAAGAGCUCGUAGGCGGUUUGUCGCGUCUGUCGUGAAAGUCCGGGGCUUAACCCCGGAUCUGCGGUGGGUACGGGCAGACUAGAGUGCAGUAGGGGAGACUGGAAUUCCUGGUGUAGCGGUGGAAUGCGCAGAUAUCAGGAGGAACACCGAUGGCGAAGGCAGGUCUCUGGGCUGUAACUGACGCUGAGGAGCGAAAG
rnacentral:rRNA from 1 species